GCGGACAUGCGGAUUAUUCGAUGCACGCGAAGAACCUUACCUGGGUUUGACAUAUGCCGGAAAGCUGCAGAGAUGUGGCCUCCCUUUGGGCCGGUUUACAGGUGGUGCAUGGCUGUCGUCAGCUCGUGUCGUGAGAUGUUGGGUUAAGUCCCGCAACGAGCGCAACCCUUGUCCUAUGUUGCCAGCAAUUCGGUUGGGGACUCAUAGGAGACUGCCGGGGUCAACUCGGAGGAAGGUGGGGAUGACGUCAAGUCAUCAUGCCCCUUAUGUCCAGGGCUUCACGCAUGCUACAAUGGCCGGUACAAAGAGCUGCGAGCCUGUGAGGGUGAGCGAAUCUCAAAAAGCCGGUCUCAGUUCGGAUUGGGGUCUGCAACUCGACCCCAUGAAGUCGGAGUCGCUAGUAAUCGCAGAUCAGCAACGCUGCGGUGAAUACGUUCCCGGGCCUUGUACACACCGCCCGUCAAGUCAUGAAAGUCGGCAACACCCGAAGCCGGCGGCCCAACCCUUUGGGGAGGGAGUCGUCGAAGGUGGGGCUGGUAAUUAGGACUAAGUCGUAACAAGGUAGCCGUACCGGAAGGUGCGGCUGGAUCACCUCCUUA
rnacentral:rRNA from 1 species